UACGGAGGAUGCGAGCGUUAUCCGGAUUUAUUGGGUUUAAAGGGUGCGCAGGCGGCACGUCAAGUCAGCGGUCAAAAUGCGGCCCUCAACGCCGUACCGCCGUUGAAACUGGCGGGCUGGAGUUCGUGGGAGGAUUGCGGAAUGCGCGGUGUAGCGGUGAAAUGCAUAGAUAUCGCGCAGAACUCCGAUUGCGAAGGCAGCAGUCCAUCACGCGACUGACGCUCAUGCACGAAAGCGUGGGUAUCGAACA
rnacentral:rRNA from 1 species